rnacentral:rRNA from 1 species
UAAUACAUGCAAGUCGAACGAUGAAGUCCUAGCUUGCUAGGAUGGAUUAGUGGCGCACGGGUGAGUAAUAUAUAGUUAAAUCUGCCCUACACAGAGGAACAACAGUUGGAAACGACUGCUAAUACCUCAUACUCCUAUUUGACAUAAGUUAAAUAGGGAAAGUCUCCUGUCGGUGUAGGAUGAGACUAUAUCGUAUCAGCUAGUUGGUAAGGUAAUGGCUUACCAAGGCUAUGACGCGUAACUGGUCUGAGAGGAUGAUCAGUCACAUUGGAACUGAGACACGGUCCAAACUCCUACGGGAGGCAGCAGUAAGGAAUAUUGCGCAAUGGGGGAAACCCUGACGCAGCAACGCCGCGUGGAGGAUGACACUUUUCGGAGCGUAAACUCCUUUUAUCAGGAAAGAAUAAUGACGGUACCUGAUGAAUAAGCACCGGCUAACUCCGUGCCAGCAGCCGCGGUAAUACNGGGGGGUGCAAGCGUUACUCGGAAUCACUGGGCGUAAAGGACGCGUAGGCGGAUUAUCAAGUCUUUUGUGAAAUCUAGUGGCUUAACCACUAAACUGCUUAGGAAACUGAUAGUCUAGAGUAGGGGAGAGGUAGAUGGAAUUCUUGGUGUAGGGGU